GAUGAAGAACGUAGUGAAAUGCGAUAAGUAAUGUGAAUUGCAGAAUUCAGUGAAUCAUCGAAUCUUUGAACGCACAUUGCGCCCCUUGGUAUUCCAUGGGGCAUGCCUGUUCGAGCGUCAUUUGUACCUUCAAGCUUUGCUUGGUGUUGGGUGUUUGUCUCGCCUUUGCGUGUAGACUCGCCUUAAAAUAAUUGGCAGCCGGCGUAUUGAUUUCGGAGCGCAGUACAUCUCGCGCUUUGCACUCAUAACGACAGCGUCCAAAAGUACAUUUUACACUCUUGACCUCGGAUCAGGUAGGGAUACCCGCUGAACUUAAGCAUAUCAAAAGCGGAGGA
rnacentral:misc_RNA from 1 species